UGGGCCGAAAUAAUUGAUCCAAUCCAACUUCUUUUAUUAUGCCAUUGACAUUACGACACAUCACACUACAAGUUAUCUUGGGCCUAGCCCAGUUCCGAUACAUUUUCAAAGCAACAUGAAAUAUUAUAGGAGCCCAAAAUAUCUUUACAUGCAUUCAUUCUAGCAGUACAUAUCUUUACAUCCAACCAGUAAGUGCCAAACAGAACUAUUCUACAACAAAGAAAAGAAAAUAGAUGACAAGACAUCACAGAAGUUACUAUUGUCCUCCUCCUUCAACAUUUGAAAACCUUCACCUGGCAGUAGAUCAAUCAUGAGUGAGAAACAAUACAGCAGCAAAACAAUACAGAAACAAUACGGUUGAUUAUUCAAAGAAAUUAAACUAAGUGCAGGUCACCCAAAGCUGAAUUUCUUGCAAUCCAAACAACACAAACAGUAGGAAGAUGGUUGCAUAGAUACAAAUCCAUGUGGUAGCAGCAAAAUUGGCCAAUCUGGACCGCAUCUUCUCUGUUUGGUACUAACUAAAAAAACUGGACUUGUUCAUACAAAUCCCUCUUGAAUUCCUUACAUAGCCAGGAUUUGCAUCAAAUAUUCCUUAAUUUAGCGGCAUUUGUAAGCAGAGAAAGAGAGGGAGGGAGAUGGGGAUGCUACGUACCUUGUCCUGAAGUUCCAACGACCAGACCAGAGAGAAGUUGCUCCUCGUCUUCUUUCCCCAGCCC
rnacentral:lncRNA from 1 species